CUACGGGUUGCUCCAGUGGGGAAUAUUGCACAAUGGACGAAAGUCUGAUGCAGCAACGCCGCGUGGAGGAUGACACAUUUCGGUGCGUAAACUCCUUUUAUAUAGGAAGAUGAUGACGGUACUAUAUGAAUAAGCACCGGCUAACUCCGUGCCAGCAGCCGCGGUAAUACGGAGGGUGCAAGCGUUACUCGGAAUCACUGGGCGUAAAGAGCGUGUAGGCGGAUAGAUAAGUCAGGAGUGAAAUCCUAUGGCUCAACCAUAGAACUGCUCUUGAAACUGUCAAUCUAGAAUGUGGGAGAGGUAGAUGGAAUUUCUGGUGUAGGGGUAAAAUCCGUAGAGAUCAGAAGGAAUACCGAUUGCGAAGGCGAUCUACUGGAACAUAAUUGACGCUGAGACGCGAAAGCGUGGGGAGCAAACAGGAUUAGAUACCCUAGUAGUC
rnacentral:rRNA from 1 species